rnacentral:misc_RNA from 1 species
GUGAAUUAAACAUGCUUGGUGUCUUCGCUUCGGCAAGGCCCUUGCUUAAAUCACAUCCUAACACCUGUGAACUGUAAGACGUAUGAUGAGGUCUUUGACCAAGUCAUCGUCUGCCCAUUUUUAACAAACAAUUAAUGUAACAAACGUAGUCUUAUUAUAACCUAAUA